rnacentral:rRNA from 1 species
GAAUCUUCGGCAAUGGACGGAAGUCUGACCGAGCAACGCCGCGUGAGUGAAGAAGGUUUUCGGAUCGUAAAGCUCUGUUGUAAGAGAAGAACGAGUGUGAGAGUGGAAAGUUCACACUGUGACGGUAUCUUACCAGAAAGGGACGGCUAACUACGUGCCAGCAGCCGCGGUAAUACGUAGGUCCCGAGCGUUGUCCGGAUUUAUUGGGCGUAAAGCGAGCGCAGGCGGUUAGAUAAGUCUGAAGUUAAAGGCUGUGGCUUAACCAUAGUACGCUUUGGAAACUGUUUAACUUGAGUGCAAGAGGGGAGAGUGGAAUUCCAUGUGUAGCGGUGAAAUGCGUAGAUAUAUGGAGGAACACCGGUGGCGAAAGCGGCUCUCUGGCUUGUAACUGACGCUGAGGCUCGAAAGCGUGGGGAGCAAACAG